GGGGCGAUGGCGGAAUCGGCAGACGCAGCGGACUUAAAAUCCGCCGGUAGAAAUACCUUGAGGGUUCGACCCCCUCUCGCCCCA
rnacentral:tRNA from 1 species